UACGAAGGGGGCUAGCGUUGCUCGGAAUCACUGGGCGUAAAGCGCACGUAGGCGGAUCGCUAAGUCAGGGGUGAAAUCCUGGAGCUCAACUCCAGAACUGCCUUUGAUACUGGCAAUCUCGAGUCCGGGAGAGGUGAGUGGAACUGCGAGUGUAGAGGUGAAAUUCGUAGAUAUUCGCAAGAACACCAGUGGCGAAGGCGGCUCACUGGCCCGUAACUGACGCUGAGGCACGAAAGCGUGGGGAGCAAACAGG
rnacentral:rRNA from 1 species